rnacentral:tRNA from 1 species
GGAGUGGUAGUUCAGUUGGUUAGAAUACCGGCCUGUCACGCCGGGGGUCGCGGGUUCGAGUCCCGUCC